AGCAGUGGGGAAUAUUGCGCAAUGGGGGAAACCCUGACGCAGCGACGCCGCGUGUAGGAAGAAGGCUUUCGGGUCGUAAACUACUGUCAGGAGGGAAGAAACUGUUUAGGUCGAAUAGGCCUAUUCACUGACGGUACCUCCAGAGGAAGCACCGGCUAACUCCGUGCCAGCAGCCGCGGUAAUACGGAGGGUGCGAGCGUUAAUCGGAAUCACUGGGCGUAAAGCGUGCGUAGGCGGCGCAGCAAGUCAGACGUGAAAGCCCUCGGCUCAACCGAGGAAUUGCGUUUGAAACUGCUGUGCUUGAGUCUCGGAGAGGUUGGCGGAAUUCCAGGUGUAGGAGUGAAAUCCGUAGAUAUCUGGAGGAACACCGGUGGCGAAGGCGGCCAACUGGACGAGUACUGACGCUGAGGUACGAAAGCGUGGGGAGCAAACAGGAUUAGAUACCCUGGUAGUCCACGCCGUAAACGAUGGAUAUUAGGUGUCGGGGGUAACCCUUC
rnacentral:rRNA from 1 species